GAUGAACGCUGACAGAAUGCUUAACACAUGCAAGUCGAUGGGGAAGUGGUGCUUGCACCAUGGUAACCAUGGCGGACGGGUGAGUAACACGUAAGGAACUUACCUGCGGGACCGGGAUAACAGCAGGAAACUGCUGACAAGACCGGAUAAGGUCAUUAAGCUGCAUAGCUUAGUGAUGAAAGGAGACGCCUGCGGAGAGCCUUGCGUCCUAUUAGCUAGUUGGAGGGGUAACGGCCCACCAAGGCGAAGAUAGGUAGCCGGCCUGAGUGGGUGGACGGCCACAAGGGGACUGAGAUACGGCCCUUACUCCUACGGGAGGCAGCAGUGGGGAAUAUUGGACAAUGGGGGCAACCCUGAUCCAGCAAUUCUGUGUGCACGAAGACGGUUUUCGGAUUGUAAAGUGCUUUCAGCAGGGAAGAAGGAAGUGACGGUACCUGCAGAAGAAGCGACGGCUAAAUACGUG
rnacentral:rRNA from 1 species